rnacentral:rRNA from 1 species
GACGAACGCUGGCGGCGUGCCUAAUACAUGCAAGUAGAACGCACAGUUUAUACCGUAGCUUGCUACACCAUAGACUGUGAGUUGCGAACGGGUGAGUAACGCGUAGGUAACCUGCCUGGUAGCGGGGGAUAACUAUUGGAAACGAUAGCUAAUACCGCAUAAUAUUAAUUAUUGCAUGAUAAUUAAUUGAAAGGUGAAAUUGCACCACUACCAGAUGGACCUGCGUUGUAUUAGCUAGUAGGUGAGGUAACGGCUCACCUAGGCGACGAUACAUAGCCGACCUGAGAGGGUGAUCGGCCACACUGGGACUGAGACACGGCCCAGACUCCUACGGGAGGCAGCAGUAGGGAAUCUUCGGCAAUGGACGAAAGUCUGACCGAGCAACGCCGCGUGAGUGAAGAAGGUUUUCGGAUCGUAAAGCUCUGUUGUAAGAGAAGAACGGGUGUGAGAGUGGAAAGUUCACACUGUGACGGUAUCUUACCAGAAAGGGACGGCUAACUACGUG